rnacentral:rRNA from 1 species
AGAGAUGGAUUGGUGCCUUCGGGAACUGUGAGACAGGUGCUGCAUGGCUGUCGUCAGCUCGUGUUGUGAAAUGUUGGGUUAAGUCCCGCAACGAGCGCAACCCUUAUCCUUUGUUGCCAGCGGUCCGGCCGGGAACUCAAAGGAGACUGCCAGUGAUAAACUGGAGGAAGGUGGGGAUGACGUCAAGUCAUCAUGGCCCUUACGACCAGGGCUACACACGUGCUACAAUGGCGCAUACAAAGAGAAGCGACCUCGCGAGAGCAAGCGGACCUCAUAAAGUGCGUCGUAGUCCGGAUUGGAGUCUGCAACUCGACUCCAUGAAGUCGGAAUCGCUAGUAAUCGUGGAUCAGAAUGCCACGGUGAAUACGUUCCCGGGCCUUGUACACACCGCCCGUCACACCAUGGGAGUGGGUUGCAAAAGAAGUAGGUAGCUUAACCUUCGGGAGGGCGCUUACCACUUUGUGAUUCAUGACUGGGGUGAAGUCGUAACAAGGUAACCGUAGGGGAACCUGCGGUUGGAUCACCUCCUUACCUUAAAGAAGC